UUAGUUUAGAUUUGAACACUCCUACAUCUAACAAAUUUGUUAUUAGAAUUUAGAGGUUUUAAACUUUGUAUGAACCUAAUUACACGUCUAAUGACUUAGUCACUUAAACAUAAUUGUUUUGAUCUUCUAAUUUACAUAGUUACACAACUAAUGACUUAGUUACAUAAUUUAGUUUCGUAGAUUGGAUCAUCCUAAUUACAAGUCUAACGUCUUAGUUACUAGAAUCCAGAGGUUCCAAACUUUAAAUCAACUUAACAACAUAAAUAAUCACUUGUUGACUUGCAUUAAUUUUUUUUACAGGUUUUUUGACGUGUUUUUGAUUAGACUCAAUCAUUAAUUUGUUGAACUUGAUUGAUGAAUCCAUUGAGUUGAACUUAAUCUCAAAAAUUAAACUCAUAAAAUAAAUUAGUUGAACUUGAACUAUGAACACUACAAAAAAAGUGUGUUAGAGCUUCAACCUUUAUAAUGGAAGGCGUUCAACUUGA
rnacentral:lncRNA from 1 species